AGAGAGAGAGAGAGAGAGAGAGAGAGAGAGAGAGAGAGAGAGACGUUCAGAAACGGCCCUAUUCCACGGACCAAUUGACGGACCAAAUAAAAAAGGAAGAAAAAAGACGUUCGAUCACAAAUAAAAAUGGGGGAAGAAACGCGGGUCACAGCCGGGUAAAAAACCCAAUUGAAGAACGUCAUUCUCUCUCUCCAUCUGCAGACGAUACUGCUCCAUCUUCUUCCUUCCCUCUCUCACACAAUUAAGUAGUAGACGGAAUAGCUCAUCGAAAGCAGAGGCAAACAGAUCGCUUUGUAUAAGGAUAUCUUCACUAUUAACAGUAUAAGGAUAUCUUCACCAUUGACGAUGAUUGCUUUGUAAGAUCCCUAUUCUUUAGUACCCUUUUGAGAAUUGUUUUGUUUUUGCUAAGUUGUUUUGAUUUGGGUUUUGGGUUUUAGAGUUUGAUUUUAUGUUAUAUUUGUUCAAUUUUAGUGGGGAAGUGUUGAAUUUUCGUGGGGUUUAGAGUUUUAUUUUGAGAAAUUUGGUUUUGAUUCAUUUGAUUUAUAGAUAUUGUUAAAGUUUUGUUUUUUUCAACUAGGUUUGACUUUGGGAGUAGGAUUGUGGUAUUUUUUGUUGGGCGUUUGUUAAAUUGUAGUGAUACUAACUUUUGGCCUGAUGAAUUUAACUUUUAAUGGGGUUUGUGUUUUUAGCUUUUUCUUUUUGGAACAAUGAGAUUAAGGAAGAGUUCUACUCUCUCAUAUUUUGUUCAAUUCAGAGAAACCAACCGAACACUUAUUGGAUGGCUCUUGAAAUUUACCUCUCGAGAAAGCCAAAUUGUUAACAAUUUAUAUUCAAAACUAUAACACUUAAACCAGGCUUGUUGGUUUUGAAAGUAGUAUGGGUAAUGCAUAUAUCUCUGCAUAUUAUCAUACUUCAUUUAUACUGUGACAAAAGGAAACAAGUGUACAACAUUAUUCAUGUAAAUAAUGCAGAAUGGCCCUUCCGGUAUCUCAGAGAAGAUUUUGUGCAACACAUACUUUUUCAACCAGCCACAUAUGUGCAUCAUUAUGGAAUCAGUGCAGAGUAAGAAGUUGAAGGUAGUGUUGUUACGUUAGUUGCAGCAGUUUUGUUCCUCCUGUGGAAUUAAUUAAGAAGCCAAGUCCAUCAUUAUUAAUAUGGCUAAAAUUCAAUAAAUAGUUAAAUAACUAAAAAUAGUAAAAUGCUCUAGAUGCUAAACAUACCCUGCUAUCAUAUACAAACACUUGUCAUAGCCUGCACGCAACAAAGAAAAACAUCACAUGAGUGAUGAAUUAAGAACAAAGAUUUUAGUGACUUUGCUUGGGGCAUUAAUCCCUUAUAUAAGACCAAAAUUGUUUUGUCGUUAUCUACUAGAAUGUCAUUAUAGCCAUGGUGUUUAUUCAAUGCUUCUACAACUAGGUGCGUCUCUAUUUUUCACCUUAUUUUGGUUUCAUGCCUUAAUUUGUUGAAAAAUUGAUAUGUAAUCCUGAUCAUGUUUGCCUGAAGCUGAAGCAAGGUUUCAAAUUUGUGCUGAAGGAGUAACUGAUGUCAAGGACUGAACCUUGAGAAUAACUUUUUCUCCCAAACUACUUCCCUUUCAUUCAUCUGGAAUUCAAGAUCCAUGGUUCUAACAAAAUGUGAUUACUCUGAAUAUUCACCCAAGUGGAAGCGGAUGCACAUUGAAGAGAUCUGUGAAUCAAUAAUGGACAUGUACUGCUUUUUUCUUUCAUAUGUAACACGAUAAAGCUUUUCUUUCUUCUUGUCUUCUUACUUUCUUGUACUAUUAAGGAGAAACAAUGUAUCUUUUCUUCUUCUUUUUUUCAACUUUCUUGUACUACUCAAAGAGAAAUAAUGUUUGGUUUUUACACAAGGUAAAUUCAGAUUUAUACCUUUUGCGCAUUGACAUAGAUUGAUAAUAGUCUUGUAAAGUAAAUUAAUACUCUCAAGUGAAGGUAAUAUAGGUUGGGACGAAGGGAGUAGAUUUUUUGAUCUGCUUUUUAACUCCCACAUUUCUGAAAUCAAUUACAAAAUGGACUAAAGUCUGUUGCUGAUAAUUCAUGUCGACUAAUAAUGUAAAUGCUCCUGCUUAUCACAGGCAGUCUAUUCAAGUUCCAAGAUAAAAAAAGUAUGAAUAAAAAAAGUUCAUACUGAGGGAAUUGUGAAAAGGUAUUUCAUUAAUAAUGUAAACCAGACUAUUACAAGGUAAAUGAAAUUACAAAGAGACCAAAGAGAUAUUUCAAGUGGACUCUAAAACAUUGACAUAACACUUCACGGAUACAAAGGUCUGCUUCUUCAUCCACCCCAAAAAAUAAAAAUACCCUUUUAUCCUACCAUAAAAUAAAUAAAUAAAAAGAAGCUAAGAUAAGCCAUAAGGCCAUUGCUUUACAACAGUAGGGUGAUUAACAUGGUUAACAAGUUAACCUUGAAAAAAAUUGUAGAAAAAACUCUCCUUAAAAAUGAACCUUACAGAAAAUAAUUUGCUGUUUGAGAGCUGCGCGUAGACUCUUCACAAGAUCCUUUGCUGCGAUGGUGAGUUUUUCAUCCAUCUGCAAGAGUAUCAGUCAGGUCACAAAAAGUGCACAACUUCAAGUUCGGAGCCCAGCUCCAAGUACAGUAAUCACACGACUCUUGGCUACUGAGCAGCACUCGGCAUAAAAGUAAUUUGAUAAUUCACAGGGAUGAUUCAAUAUCCAAACUCCAAAUCAGCAUAACUGGAAAAUAUCACCAUGCGCCAAUGGCCAGUCCAGUGCUUAAAAGGCGAGAGAGAAAGAAUCAAGAGUUGGACUGUGUUCAUUCAACAUUUCGCUCCCAUGAUGUUCAUAUAUUUAAAGAAUUCGUAUGAUCUGUAAAGGGAUGCAUCCAAAGCAAAGUGCAUAUCAUGGUAGUAAAACAUGGCACUCUUUAACUCUCUAAAUAAAUUAAUACAAAACAGCUCAAAACAAGAAUAAAACUGUCAACCGUGAUAAAUUCUAAGAUAAAGCUUGUAAGAGUUUAGAUGCAAGGUCAACUUCAGUUUUGGCUGUCAUCAGCCUAUUUAUUAUCAGUUUUGCAAUGACUAAUUACAAUGCAAAAGCAAUCUAAAUGAUUACAAACUUUUCCCCUAGCAAAAAAGGAAACUCUUGAUCAACUAAGUAUCUUAUAAAUUUCUACACAAUGGGUACUACUCAAACAGGUUUGCUCCUGUGUCGUAAUGUGACAAUGUCCCAAAUUUCUGGAAUAAAAGCUUAGACACUCCUAGACUCUCAGAAGCCCAAAAUUACACCAGCACAAGUAUACUAUAUUCAUCCAGUUUAUAUCAACACCUCCAAAGCAGUUAGAAUUCAACACCCACACACCCACAAACAUGUAUACAUAACAUCAAAGUUCAAUAUUUACAAUAAGAAAAUUCCCAUGUAAGCUAAUAAAUUGCAAGAAAACCAUUAUUAUUAUUAUUAGAAAAAAGGGUAUUUUCAAAUGAUUACAUGUUUGUAGGAUUCAACACCAAGUUGCUUGAGCUUCAGAGUGCGAGUGACGAGCAGCUUCUGAAAGUCCCCAAUCCCAGUUUCAAGCUUCUCUGCGUAGGUUUCCACCCCUUUCCCGACUCCCUUCAAAAAUUCAAGUAUUCCAACUUUCACUGAAAAAUUUUCAAAUCCACUUUUAGAUUUCCACCCAAAAAAAUUGCCAGUAAUACGUGUGUGUGAAAGAGGGAGGGUUCCGUCUACUAAUUUAUCGUGUGAGAGAGGGAGGGAAGAAGAUGGAGCAGUAUCGUCUGCAGAUGGGAAGAGAGAAUGACGUUCUUCAAUUGAGUUUUUUACCCGGCCGUGACCCGCGUUUCUUCCCCCUUUUUUUAUUUGUGAUCGCGCGUCUUUUUUCUUCCUUUUUUAUUUGGUCCGUCAAUUGGUCCGUGGGAUAGGGCCGUUUUUGAACGGCUCUGUAUAUAUAUAUAUAUAUAUAUAUAUAUACACACACACACACACAUAUAUAAAGGCUCAAUGGCUUAUCUCUUGAACCUUGCAUACCUUUUUUAGCAAUGGAUCGGGCGACGGUUCGGUCCAUCGUUAUAUGUUGUCUGUCAUCAUAUGUUGUCCAUCGCUAAAAAUUAAGACAACGGUUCUCUGAUAUAGCGACGGACUGAACCAUCUCCCGGUCCGUCGUCAAAGGGGGUGAGUAUGGUAUGUAAAAUAAAAGAGUGAGUGUAAAAUCCCAACUUUUACGAAUAAAGAUUAAUUUUUCUCGAAAUAUAUUUUUGAAUAUUAUGGUGUGGAUUUGAUAUAAUAUUAUUGUGGGUAAUAUUUACAAAUUUUGCAAAGUAAACAAGUGGUUAUAUAAUAUUCGAUUGGUCGGAGAAUAUUCGUUUUAAUAGGGAAUAUUCGUACGACAACACAAUCAUUGGUGGACCCCACAAUGGAAGUAUUGUCGUAGUUAGAAAACGACAAAAUUAUUUUUUUCAAAAAAUAACGGCGAAAGUUUUACCGUUAACUUUUGAACUACCCGAUGGUAAAAGUACAGUAAUACGCGUGGUUGCAUAGUAGCACACGGUAUUGAUUAUUGAUGCUUACGUGAGAAGUCACUCAGUUAUACUUUAUUAUUGCUACAGUAAUUGUUGCAUAAUAUCUCUCAUAUUAUUGAUUCAAUUAUUGUCACAAUAUCAAUAUUUUAUAUUAUUAAAUCAAUAAUUGAGACAACAUAGUUAUUCAUAUUAUUAUUUGCAAUAUUGACGAUGUCUAAAAAGUUAUGUCGAGGAGAUGUUUGGUCACCUAAUUGCGCGCCAAUAGGGAGAAAUCCUUAUCGGAAAGCCCCCUCUUUCUUGGGAAUGAUCUGGUUGUUAAAUAUUGUGAGUUAUAAUAUUAAUGAUGAAUAAAUUCGUGUUGAUUAAAGAUGAAAUUGAUAGUUCCAUUGUGUUGGGAUUAUUAGUGUUAGUGGAAAUCGACAUUUAUUUCGAUAAUAAUUGAUGUCUGGAGGUUAUAUUGACCAAUCGGGUAAUUAAUCGGAUAAAUGAGCAAUUAAUUGCUAUUAAUUCACAUGCUUAUAACUAUUUGUUCACAUGUGUGUACUAUUGAUUCACAUGCAUGUACUAUUAGGGGAGGUGGUGCAAGAUUGAUAAUACUUGCAUGACUAAAUUAAAAAUGGAGGUAUAGAUGAAGGUACUAUACUGUAACUAUUUUUUUCACAAAUAUAGAACUAUUGAUUCACAUGAAUGUACUAUUGAUUCACAUGAUGUACUAUUAGGGGAGGUGGUGCAAGUUUGAUAAUACUUGUAGAACUAAAUUAAAAAUGAAGGAACAGAUGAAGGUAUUAUAUACUGUAAUAUUUUGAGCCCCAAAACGUGCAAUUAUCGAAACUAUUUUUUUAUAAAUAGAAGCUCAUUCUUCUUUCAUUCUCACAAAUUCACAAAGACUCACAAGAGCAAUUAUAGAGAGAGAAGCUAAAGAGAGAGAAGCUAUAGAGAGAAAGAAGAAAAGAAG
rnacentral:lncRNA from 1 species